GACGAACGCUGGCGGCGUGCUUAACACAUGCAAGUCGAACGAUGAAGAAGAGACACGCGAACUUCGGUUCAAAUUUCACUUCGGAUUAGUGGCAGACGGGUGAGUAACGCGUGAGCAACCUACCUCUUACAAAGGGAUAGCCUCGGGAAACCGUGAUUAAUACCAUAUGACACAUUCAUAAGGCAUCUUAAGAAUGUUAAAGCUACGGCGGUAAGAGAUGGGCUCGCGUCCCAUUAGCUAGUUGGUGAGGUAACGGCCCACCAAGGCGACGAUGGGUAACCGGCCUGAGAGGGUGAACGGUCACAUUGGAACUGAGACACGGUCCAAACUCCUACGGGAGGCAGCAGUGGGGAAUAUUGCACAAUGGAGGGAACUCUGAUGCAGCGACGCCGCGUGAGCGGUGAAGGAAUUCGUUUCGUAAAGCUCUGUUCUAUGGGAAGAAAAGGACUGUACCAUAGGAGAAAGCCCCGGCUAAAUACGUG
rnacentral:rRNA from 1 species